AAUAACAUCAUCCAUGUGAGUAUUUUUUUCUUCUUCUUUCUUUUUU
rnacentral:sRNA from 1 species